GAUGAACGCCGGCGGUGUGCCUAAUACAUGCAAGUCGUACGCACUGGCCCAACUGAUUGAUGGUGCUUGCACCUGAUUGACGAUGGAUCACCAGUGAGUGGCGGACGGGUGAGUAACACGUAGGUAACCUGCCCCGGAGCGGGGGAUAACAUUUGGAAACAGAUGCUAAUACCGCAUAACAACAAAAGCCACAUGGCUUUUGUUUGAAAGAUGGCUUUGGCUAUCACUCUGGGAUGGACCUGCGGUGCAUUAGCUAGUUGGUAAGGUAACGGCUUACCAAGGCGAUGAUGCAUAGCCGAGUUGAGAGACUGAUCGGCCACAAUGGAACUGAGACACGGUCCAUACUCCUACGGGAGGCAGCAGUAGGGAAUCUUCCACAAUGGGCGCAAGCCUGAUGGAGCAACACCGCGUGAGUGAAGAAGGGUUUCGGCUCGUAAAGCUCUGUUGUUGGAGAAGAACGUGCGUGAGGGUAACUGUUCACGCAGUGACGGUAUCCAACCAGAAA
rnacentral:rRNA from 1 species